AGAUAAAUAAAAGCGCCAGAACUAUAUUUUAUAUAGUUGACGAGGUUGGGGAGUAUCGAAACUUUUCGGCGGGUGCCCCACGGUAUCGCACUACCGUAAACAACUGGCAAAACUAUGGAGCAAUUCGUAGCACAAAUCCAGUUUGGUGUUAAAG
rfam:Clostridium paraputrificum strain 373-A1 CP373A1_32, whole genome shotgun sequence.